CAAAGGUAGCAUWWNNNNNAGUUUUUUAAUUGARGGCUUGUAUGAAAGGUUGGACGGAAAUUUAUUUUUUUUAUUUUUAUGAAUUUUGAAUUUGGUAUUUUAGUUAAAAAACUGAAUUAAAUUAAAGGGACGAUGAGACCCUAUAGAAUUUAAGAAUAAUAUUGAUUAGUUUAUUUUUUUAUUGGGGUGAUAAAAAACAAACUUUUUUUUUAUUUAACAUUUUAUUUGUUUAUAGGAUCCUAAAAUUUAGAAAACAAGAUUAAAUUACCUUAGGGAUAACAGCAUAAUUUUUUUUAAAAGAUCUUAUUUAUAGAAAAGAUUAUGACCUCGAUGUUGAAUUAUAAAUAUAAUUAGGUGCAGAAGUUUAAUUAUAUAGUCUGUUCGACUAUUAAAUUUUACAUGAUUUGAGUUCAAACCGGCGUGAGCCAGGUYGGCUUCUAUC
rnacentral:rRNA from 1 species